AAGUCGUAACAAGGUUUCCGUAGGUGAACCUGCGGAAGGAUCAUUAACAAUAAUUCCAUUUAUUGGAUUCUACCCAUUGUGAUCGAAUUGGCUUUAUAAUUAGGGAUUAAAAAUGGCUACUCGCGAGAGUAGACGGCCCUGAAUCAUUAAAACUCGCUUUAAUCUUUGACUGAAUAAUAAUUUUAUAAUUAUCAAACGAUAAUCAAUUAAAACUUUCAACAACGGAUCUCUUGGUUCUC
rnacentral:misc_RNA from 1 species